UCCGUCACUCCUUACACACCCAGCACCGCUGACAUCCAGGUGUCCGAUGACGACAAGGCGGGGGCCACCUUGCUCUUCUCAGGCAUCUUUCUGGGACUGGUGGGGAUCACAUUCACUGUCAUGGGCUGGAUCAAAUACCAAGGUGUCUCCCACUUUGAAUGGACCCAGCUCCUUGGGCCCGUCCUGCUGUCAGUUGGGGUGACGUUCAUCCUGAUUGCUGUGUGCAAGUUCAAAAUGCUCUCCUGCCAGUUGUGCAAAGAAAGUGAGGAAAGGGUCCUGGACUCGGAACAGACACCAGGAGGACCAUCAUUUGUUUUCACUGGCAUCAACCAACCCAUCACCUUCCAUGGGGCCACUGUGGUGCAGUACAUCCCUCCUCCUUAUGGUUCUCCAGAGCCUGUGGGGAUAAAUACCAGCUACCUGCAGUCUGUGGAGCGAGACAGAGCAGAGUUGCCAUGUCA
rnacentral:sRNA from 1 species